rnacentral:misc_RNA from 1 species
GUGAAUCAUCGAAUCUUUGAACGCAACUUGCGCUCUCUGGUAUUCCGGAGAGCAUGCCUGUUUGAGUGUCAUGAAAUCUCAACCAUUAGGGUUUCUUAAUGGCUUGGAUUUGGGUGUUGCCAGUCUCUGGCUCGCCUUAAAGGAGUUAGCGAGUUUAACAAUGUCCUCUGGCGUAAUAAGUUUCGCUGGAAAGGCUUGUGAAGUUUGCUUCUAAUCGUCUUCGGACAAUUACUUUGACUCUGGCCUCAAAUCAGGUAGGACUACCCGCUGAACUUAAGCAUAUCAAUAAGCGGAGGA